rnacentral:rRNA from 1 species
AGCAGCCGCGGUAAUUCCAGCUCCAAUAGCGUAUAUUAAAGUUGUUGCAGUUAAAAAGCUCGUAGUUGAAUUUCGGGAUCAAUAUGUUGGUCGUGCCUCGGUACGUACUAGCUUAUUGGUUUCUCCUUUCUGAAGAACCAUGAUGUCAUUUAUUUGGUGUCGUGGGGAAUCAGGACUGUUACUUUGAAAAAAUUAGAGUGUUUAAAGCAGGCUCACGCUUGAAUACAUUAGCAUGGAAUAAUGAAAUAGGACGUUUGAUUCUAUUUUGUUGGUUUCUAGGAUCGACGUAAUGAUUAAUAGGGAUAGUUGGGGGCAUUAGUAUUCAAUUGUCAGAGGUGAAAUUCUUGGAUUUAUUGAAGACUAACUACUGCGAAAGCAUUUGCCAAGGAUGUUUUCAUUAAUCAAGAACGAAAGUUAGGGGAUCGAAGACGAUCAGAUACCGUCGUAGUCUUAACCAUAAACUAUGCCGACUAGGGAUCGGAUGAUGUUAAUUUUUAAUGUACU